rnacentral:sRNA from 1 species
CCACCGGAACCUGGUCCGGGCUGACGAAAUGCACGUGGGUGUCGAUGCCGCCGGCGGUGAGGAUCUUGUGCUCGCCGGCAAUAAUGUCCGUCGCCGCGCCGAUGACAAUGUUCACGCCAUCGGAGAUCUGCGGGUUGCCGGCCUUGCCGAUCUUGAAGAUAUGCCCGUCGCGCAGGGCGACGUCGGCCUUGUAGAUACCGGUGUAGUCCAGCACCACCACGUUGGUGAUGACCGUGUCCGGGAUAUCCUCGUCCCGGACCAGCCGGCCGUUCUGGCCCAUGCCGUCGCGG